rnacentral:lncRNA from 1 species
AAGAACAAAGGAAGAAAAGAAAGAACAAGAACCCUAGGGUGAAAAUUCAAGAGAAAAUUGAUGGAUUUCAAGUAAUCAAGCAAUCAAAGGUAAAAUUUCUUGAUUUUGACUUGUGAUCUACCUUUCCCAUGCAUUCUUUAACAUUUUUCAUGGUUGAAACACAUGAUUUCAUGAUGGGUAUCUUGCUGGCUGAACACUUAGAGAAAGGUUUUGAUGCUUGAUUUGGUUAGAUUUUAAGAUAUUUUAGUGUUUUUAGUUAGUUAGUGAUGUGUAGCAUGAAAAGCCAACAAGAAAAAUUCAUUUUCUCCUAUCACCCAUCAUUGGCCGAAUUCUCCAUGUGGAAUAUUGAUGAUGAUUUUGAUUUUAUUUCAAGUGAAUUGGUUAGGAAAUGAUGAAUUACAAUGAGAAAAUCAAGUAGGAAAAAUCAUAGUGUUGAUGCACCCACCAUAGCCGAAAUUCCCAAGAGAAAAUGUGAAAAUGAUUUUGCUAAAUUUUAUGCUAUUUGACUUGUGUUUGAUGGUUUGGAGAAUUGGAAGAAAAAUGGAGUUAAUUGGAGUUGAAUUGGACAUAUUGACCAAUUAAUCGAGUGACAGAUCGAAUUAGGCUAAUACCGUUUUAUUUAAGUAUACAAUUGAAUUUGUGUAGAACACCGUGUUUAGAUGAUAAUCCAAACAAUUUACAUCCCAUUUCAUGCAUUAGUAUAGAGCCUAAAUUGGUUUUAUAACAAUUUAGCACAAAUGUAGUAAAUGACUUAUUGUGCAUUAUGUCUAGGUGGUGAGCAUUCUGGCAAAAGUAAAGAGAUAGUACUCAAGGAUCAAGAAUCGGAGUACUUGAAAUUCGACUCCCGAAAUAGUGAGUAACCUUACUAUCGUCUUAAUUAUCUAAAGUGGUUUUAUCCAAUUUUGUGAUUUUAUGAAAAAUGAGUUUAAAUGGUUAAUUUUUAGGUUUUACAAACAAAAUGUGAUUAAAUGAAAUGAUUUUAUAAAAUUGUCUUGAAAUUGAAAGAUGGUUUUGAAAAUUGAGUAAUUGGAGACUAAUUGUUGUGUUAUAAAUCAUGGUUUGAAUUGACAUGAAUGGUUGAAUUGGUAAAUGCGCUGAAAAUGUAUGAACUGUUGAUUUGCCUUGAGAGGCUAUAAAAUAAAAUAAUUGUCAUGUCAUGCUAUACCAAAUUUUAUUGUAUGGUGGGCUUAGCUUGCUGCAGUGAGCAAGUUCUGUAGACCAGCCUAUUAGAGGGGCACGAAAUCCGGUUAUAUACGUAUCUCGGUCGGAGAGGCGCGUAGGGUAACUCCCGAGGUAAAACUUUAGAGUUCACUUCACGCCAAACCACCACGUGAAGGUGAACUCAGUCAAUGCCAAGGAACGACUAUAUUUUCAAAAUAAAAACAUGAUUUAUGCGUACAUGACUUUUUAACAGCCUUGGCGGACUCGGUUGGGAUAGCCUUCGGCGAAGGUAUCCCUGAUAACUGAGUAUGAGAAUGAUUUUGGCACGAGCCAAAGUUUUAAGAAAUUCAUAAGCCAUGUUGAUUACUCGAUUUAUAUGAAUUGAUUUUAUUUGGUUAAAAUGAGUUGAAAGAUGAUAAAUUACAGUAUGAUGAUCUAUUUUAAUCUAUCUCCAUUUACUCAGCUUUAGAUAUUUUAGAUGGUAUUUGUUUACUCACUGGGAUUAUAUAAUCUCACCACCCUCCUUUCCACCCAUUUCAGGCAUAGAAUAGGUUGUAGAUAGUGGAUUUCAUCGAGGCUACCAUUGGAUUUGCAUCCUUCAAACUGUAGGUUUAUAGUCUUCCUUACUUUUGGUUAUUCGAGGGCCCAUUGGUUAUUGUAAAUUAAAUUAAAUACUCU